rnacentral:rRNA from 1 species
GAUGAACGCUGGCGGCGUGCCUAAUACAUGCAAGUCGAGCGAACGGACGAGAAGCCUGCCUCCUUGACGUAAGCGGCGGACAGGUGAGUAAAACGUGGAUAACCCACCCAUAUGACUGGGAUAAACUCGGGAAAACGGUGCUAAAACCGGCAUAACUUUUGAACAGCAUGGUUCAAAAGUGAAAGACGGUCUUGCAGCCACUUAUAGAAGGUUCCAGAAUGUAUUAGCUAGUUGGUCAGGUAACGGCUCACCUAGGCGACGAUCCAUAGCCGAACUGAGAGGAUGACCAGCCACACUGGAACUGAGACACGGUCCAGACUCCUACGGGAGGCAGCAGUGGGGAAUCUUGCACAAUGGGCGAAAGCCUGACGCAGCAACGCCGCGUGUGUGAUGAAGGUCUUCGGAUCGUAAAACUCUUUUAUUAGGGAAGAACGUAGUAGUGAGUAACUCUUCACAUCUUGACGGUACCUAAACAGGAAGCCACGGCUAACUACGUG